rnacentral:rRNA from 1 species
GACGAACGCUGGCGGCGUGCCUAAUACAUGCAAGUUGAGCGCUGAAGGCUGGUACUUGUACCAACUUGAUGAGCCGCGAACGGGUGAGUAACGCGUGGGGCAUCUCCCUUUGAGCGGGGUACAACAUUUGGAAACGAAUGCUAAUCCCGCAUAAACACUUUCAACACAAGUUUUAAUUUUGAAAGAUGCAAUUGCAUCACUCACACAUGAUCCCGCGUUGUAUUAGCUGGUUGGUGAGGUAAAGGCUCACCAAGGCGGGGAUACAUAGCCGAACUGAGAGGAUGAGCGGCCAGAUUGGGAGUGAGACACGGCCCAAACGGCUACGGGAGGCAGCAGUAGGGAAUCGUGGGGAAGGGACGAAAGACUGAGCGAGAAAGGCCGCGGGAGUGAAGAAGGAUGUCGGAUCGGAAAACACUGUUGGUAGAGAAGAACGUGGGUGAGAGUGGAAAGCACAUCAAGUGACGGUAACGACCAAGAAAGGGACGGCUAACUACGUG